AUUGAACGCUGGCGGAAUGCUUUACACAUGCAAGUCGAGCGGCAGCACGGGGGCAACCCUGGUGGCGAGCGGAGAACGGGUGAGUAAUACAUCGGAACAUGCCCAGUCGUGGGGGAUAACACUUCGAAAGAAGUGCUAAUACCGCAUACGUCCAGAGGGGGAAAGCGGGGGAUCGCAAGACCUCGCGCGAUUGGAGUGGCCGAUGUCAGAUUAGCUAGUUGGUGGGGUAAAGGCCUACCAAGGCAACGAUCUGUAGCUGGUCUGAGAGGAUGAUCAGCCACCCUGGAACUGGGACACGGCCCAGACUCCUACGGGAGGCAGCAGUGGGGAAUUUUGGACAAUGGGGGCAACCCUGAUCCAGCCAUCCCGCGUGAGAGAAGAAGGCCUUCGGGUUGUAAAGCUCUUUCGGCAGGAACGAAGCGGUGAGCUCUAACAUAGCUUGCUAAUGACGGUACCUUAAGAAGAAGCACCGGCUAACUACGUG
rnacentral:rRNA from 1 species